UCUGAUGUGAAAUCCCACGGCUCAUCCGUGAAGGGUCAUUGAAAACUGGGAAACUUGAGUGCAAAAUAGGAGUGUGGAAUUCCAUGUGUAGCGGUGAAGUGCGUAGAGAUAUGGAGGAACACCAGUGGCUGAACGCAUCUUUCUGGUCUGUAACUGACACUGAGGCGCGAAAGCGUGAGGAGCACACAGGAUUAUAUACCCUGGUACUCCACGCCACUAAACGAUGAGUGCUAUUGUGUUAGAGGGUUUCCGCCCU
rnacentral:rRNA from 1 species